rnacentral:rRNA from 1 species
AUUGAACGCUGGCGGCAGGCCUAACACAUGCAAGUCGAGCGAGCGGCGGACGGGUGAGUAAUGUCUGGGAAACUGCCUGAUGGAGGGGGAUAACUACUGGAAACGGUAGCUAAUACCGCAUACCAUCAGAUGUGCCCAGAUGGGAUUAGCUAGUAGGUGGGGUAACGGCUCACCUAGGCGACGAUCCCUAGCUGGUCUGAGAGGAUGACCCGCCACACUGGAACUGAGACACGGUCCAGACUCCUACGGGAGGCAGCAGUGGGGAAUAUUGCACAAUGGGCGCAAGCCUGAUGCAGCCAUGCCGCGUGUGUGAAGAAGGCCUUCGGGUUGUAAAGCACUUUCAGCGGGGAGGCGUUACCCGCAGAAGAAGCACCGGCUAACUCCGUGCCAGCAGCCGCGGUAAUUC